rnacentral:rRNA from 1 species
AUUGAACGCUGGCGGCAGGCCUAACACAUGCAAGUCGAACGCAGUGGGGACGGGUGAUUAACACGUGGGUAACCUCCCAUCAGAGGGGAUAACACUUGGAAACAGGUGCUAAACCGAUACUGAUUGAUGUACCCGCGGUGCAUUAGCUAGUUGGUGGGGUCACGGCUCACCAAGGCCACGAUGCAUAGCCGACCUGAGAGGGUGAUCGGCCACACGGGGACUGAGACACGGCCCAGACUCCUACGGGAGGCAGCAGUAGGGAAUCUUCGGCAAUGGACGAAAGUCUGACCGAGCAACGCCGCGUGAGUGAAGAAGGUUUUCGGAUCGUAAAACUCUGUUGGUAGAGAAGCGGUAUCUAAACAGAAAGCCACGGCUAACUACGUGCCAGCCGCCGCGGUAAUAC